rnacentral:rRNA from 1 species
GGAUGAACGCUGGCGGCGUGCCUAAUACAUGCAAGUCGAACGCUUUGUGGUUCAACUGAUUUGAAGAGCUUGCUCAGAUAUGACGAUGGACAUUGCAAAGAGUGGCGAACGGGUGAGUAACACGUGGGAAACCUACCUCUUAGCAGGGGAUAACAUUUGGAAACAGAUGCUAAUACCGUAUAACAAUGACAACCGCAUGGUUGUUAUUUCAAAGAUGGUUCUGCUAUCACUAAGAGAUGGUCCCGCGGUGCAUUAGCUAGUUGGUAAGGUAAUGGCUUACCAAGGCGAUGAUGCAUAGCCGAGUUGAGAGACUGAUCGGCCACAAUGGGACUGAGACACGGCCCAUACUCCUACGGGAGGCAGCAGUAGGGAAUCUUCCACAAUGGGCGAAAGCCUGAUGGAGCAACGCCGCGUGUGUGAUGAAGGGUUUCGGCUCGUAAAACACUGUUGUAAGAGAAGAAUGACAUUGAGAGUAACUGUUCAAUGUGUGACGGUAUCUUACCAGAAAGGAACGGCUAAAUACGUGCCAGCAGCCGCGGUAAUACGUAUGUUCCAAGCGUUAUCCGGAUUUAUUGGGCGUAAAGCGAGCGCAGACGGUUAUUUAAGUCUGAAGUGAAAGCCCUCAGCUCAACUGAGGAAUUGCUUUGGAAACUGGAUGACUUGAGUGCAGUAGAGGAAAGUGGAACUCCAUGUGUAGCGGUGAAAUGCGUAGAUAUAUGGAAGAACACCAGUGGCGAAGGCGGCUUUCUGGACUGUAACUGACGUUGAGGCUCGAAAGUGUGGGUAGCAAACAGGAUUAGAUACCCUGGUAGUCCACACCGUAAACGAUGAGUGCUAGGUGUUUGAGGGUUUCCGCCCUUAAGUGCCGCAGCUAACGCAUUAAGCACUCCGCCUGGGGAGUACGACCGCAAGGUUGAAACUCAAAGGAAUUGACGGGGACCCGCACAAGCGGUGGAGCAUGUGGUUUAAUUCGAAGCAACGCGAAGAACCUUACCAGGUCUUGACAUCCCUUGACAACUCCAGAGAUGGAGCGUUCCCUUCGGGGACAAGGUGACAGGUGGUGCAUGGUUGUCGUCAGCUCGUGUCGUGAGAUGUUGGGUUAAGUCCCGCAACGAGCGCAACCCUUAUUACUAGUUGCCAGCAUUCAGUUGGGCACUCUAGUGAGACUGCCGGUGACAAACCGGAGGAAGGUGGGGAUGACGUCAAAUCAUCAUGCCCCUUAUGACCUGGGCUACACACGUGCUACAAUGGCGUAUACAACGAGUUGCCAACCCGCGAGGGUGAGCUAAUCUCUUAAAGUACGUCUCAGUUCGGAUUGUAGGCUGCAACUCGCCUACAUGAAGUCGGAAUCGCUAGUAAUCGCGGAUCAGCACGCCGCGGUGAAUACGUUCCCGGGUCUUGUACACACCGC